rnacentral:rRNA from 1 species
GAUUUAAUACCCCUAUGUUUUCCGAAGAUGGCAUCUGAUUUGGAAUAAAGGUUCACCGCUAAGGGAUGGGGAUGCGUCCGAUUAGGUAGUCGGCGGGGUAACGGCCCACCGAGCCUUCGAUCGGUAGGGGUUCUGAGAGGAAGGUCCCCCACAUUGGAACUGAGACACGGUCCAAACUCCUACGGGAGGCAGCAGUGAGGAAUAUUGGUCAAUGGACGUAAGUCUGAACCAGCCAAGUAGCGUGCAGGAUGACGGCCCUAUGGGUUGUAAACUGCUUUUGCAGGGGAAUAAAGUGAGGCACGCGUGCCUUUUGUAUGUACCCUGAGAAUAAGGACCGGCUAAUUCCGUGCC